CCGGUGCCAAAAAAAAACCCCUACGAUCGAUCCUUGUGCCCACGGCAGAUCGUUCUCCGCCGCCAACCAGCCCUUCGCAGGCCCGAUCCACCCCUUCGCCCCCGCCGCGGCCGAUCCAUCCCUGUGCCGCGGCCGAUCCUAACCUUCGCCGUCGCCCACUCCUGUCGAUCCCAUCUAUCGUUGCCGCUGCAGCCGCCGCAAAAAAAAUCCAUCGACCCCUCCCAUCGAUCGUUGCCGCCGCCGCCGUCCGAGGGGCAGACGCCGCCGCCGCCGCAGUACAAGGGGGAGACGCCGCCGCCGCUGCUGCAAGGCAUGGCGGUUUGAACCCCGCCCCCGCCUCUGCAAGGCAGGGUGGUUUGAAUCCCGCCCCCGCCGCUGCAAGGCAUGCUCACCAAGAUGUUCGGCGAGGCCGGCGACUACGACGGCAUCCAGUUCGUCUUCAAGAAGAUGCGGGAGGUCGGCAUCAAGCCCUAAAUCUUCGUCUACAACGCUUUGCUCGAGGCGAUCGGCAAGACCGGCAAGUUGGGGCUGGCCCGCAGCCUGUUCGAGGAAAUGUCCGCCGAGGGGGUCGAGCCCAACGAGCGCACGCGCACCGCGGUGGCCAAGAUCUGUUGCCGGGCACGCUGGGGACGCGACGUGCUCCAGCUCUGGGACAAGAUGCGCGACAAGAAGAUCCCCGCCCACAACAUCCUCUGCAACACGCAUGUGCGCCGACGUGGGGCUGGUGGCUGAGGCCGAGCAGUUCUUGGAGGAGAUGAAGCUGGACAAGUGGAGCAAAGGUUAAUCUCCCGGCCACGGGCCACAACCUGCGGGUCUUCGUCCGUCAGGGCCUGGACGCUUCUGCUACUCCACUCCUUGUGCGAACACAUCGACAUAUAUUAGCGCCCGACUGUGCCACCAAGCUCAAAUCAGGGGCUGCAAGAUUCCAUCACGAGUCUUCGUGUGGUGGUCUUGGUCUUGGAUUGUAAAGCCCGGUUUGGGAUUUUGCUACAACUGCUCAUUCAGUGAGGAUUCUGAUCGAAGACGAUCAGAAGGAAAAAGGACUUUGCCCAAGUAACUCCAGCUGGUUAUAUUGACACACUAUAUGAAUGUAACGCCAUACAGAGGCAUGUUUCAUGUGUGGCAGAGGACUAGAGGUAAUUAAAACUUCAUCUGAGGAAGCAAUCUACAAAGUCAAGUGGAGCAAUAGCGUCCAAGCAGUCUUGUUGCUAUGUUCUUGUUUUUGCUGUACACAAAGAGGCCGGGAUUGAGCAAGGGCGCUGGAGAUAUUGUGUCAAUAGUGGGCAUCUUGAUGCAGUUGCGCUUGUCGAGGUUGAGCUUGUUCCCACGCACGACUUGUAGUUGUAAACUUAUGCAUUUGGGGCUAUUAAAGGGAAGCAAUUGACGUGCAUGCCAAGAGGAGUUAUUCUGUGGCAACCCACAGGUAUUUAGCUAGAUCAUCUUAGUCGGAUACUAAUAUCUAUUACUGUUGUCUUAACCCAGUUCUUGUUUUGGUGCCUUAAAAAAUCAUCUUAAUCGGAUACUGAUAUCACUUAUGCAAGAGUCAUGUUUGAUCAUUAAAAGAAAUGGCCACGGAUCCCCACGGACGCCGCCACUGCCGCGGAUCCCCACGGAUGAUGCAGACGCCGCCGAACAGAGCAGGAUGUGGUCGCGUUGCACUGAUUGGAGGAGACCGUGCCGGCCGUGCGCUGUUUGGAGGACGAACACAGGUUCACCGCCAUGGCUAUGAGAGGACGCAUUUGUGUUCAGUUGUUCGGGCAGAGGAGGCACUUUGUUGAAGCAUCAAGUGAAUUGAAAUGUGCAAAUGCUCUUGGUGCCCAUUAGUUCUGUGUGCGACUCCUGCUGCUGCUAUAUUGACCUCUACUUGAAGUCAGGAGCCAAAUUGAAGAUCAAAUUCAGGCUUUCAAAAGUGAGGCUAGGGCGCGGAGGUGAGGCCAAAUUGGCGUGUGAAUGUAAGGAUUGAAAUGAGAUAGUUAUCUUCUUUCAGUUGUUUGCUUCUGCUUAUUGAUAGAGAUAAUGAUUCCCUAUUUAGUAGAGAUGUUGUCACAUAUUAAUAUUGGGAAUUAUCUACAGUUCAUUUGAUGUUCAUAUCUCCAUCCUAGCGACCGCUUUGUCCAUGGUGUUUUUAUCGCAUCCACUCAGAUCAGUAUGAAACGAGAACGCACAUCUAUGUUGUAUUUGCUUUAUAGUAAUACAGGUUUAGGUGGUCAGUCGCCCUAUGUUGUUUGCAUAAAAAACGUGAUUUGCAUGGUGAGCAUGGCAGCAAUUCAUUGUUCGAAGCAGUGAAGCGAUGUAAAAUAUGUGCAUCGGCGGUUGUGAAUAGCAUCCGUCAUUUUUUGUAGUCCUCUUAGUUAUGUACUAGCGCAGAUGUUGCGUACCGAAAGUAGGAGCAAUCAAGUUGUUUUUUAUCUAACAAGGAGGCAAGCUGGCCUUGUUGUGCUAUGCUCAUCUCAAAUUGUAUGCUGAGUCUACUUAUUUUAGCUUAACGUAGGUUUUGGCAGCAAGAAACACUUGCAAAUGUAUGUCUUCUGGAUGUAAGUAUCCGCUCUAGAAGAUAUAUAUAGAUUGGGGAUAUAAAUAUCUGCACUAGAAGAUAAAUAUUUAUAGUGGUCACAAUAACUGAAUCUGUUGUGUACUACAAUAUUUUUAUUCAGAAGAAGUCAUGAUUAUAUGUUUUA